UUGAAGUAUCUGCGAAGGACAGAUUGGGACUCUUACUGCCUCGUUCUUUCUAAGCUUGGCCUCCGAGACAACCCAGAUUACAAGUUCUAGACCAGCACAUACGACAUAGUACUUGAAUGCAGUUUUUCUUUGGCAGAUUGCCGGAAGCUUUUUCCAUACUAAAACUUCUCCUCUCGGUUGGGGGGAGAGGUGAUGAGGAGGAUGAACUUUUGUUGUUUGGUUCACUACCUCCCAAGGGAAGCUCAUAACUGGUCUUUGAAAGGAGAGACAAAUGUAAGAUUACCAUGUUUUUGAUUUUUUUUUUUUUAUAACAACGGUGUCUAGAAUAACUUGCACGCACCAGGACGUGUAUGUAACUCUGUG
rnacentral:misc_RNA from 1 species